GCAAGGCGCGGGGCUGGGAAGACCGGGAAAGUCGGGUCAGGGGCCCGCCCGCCCUACUCGACUCCCAGCUCACGCCCUGCGCCCGGCUCUUUUUAACCCCAGCGCCGCCAGGCCCGCAGGGAGGGGGUUCCCGGGUUUGGACCCGGGCUAGGAGGCCGCAGAGGGCACGCGGCCCGACCUGUGAGGGAGGCCAGCUGGAGACCGAACCCACACUCGGGAAGGAGGCCCAGCCCCAAUCGCCUCUGAGGGGUGGGCGGGUCCGCUCAGGGACAGGGGCUCUAGAGGGAACGGCCACGCCCCGGACGCCGCCGGGAGCCAAGCGCCAAGGGAGGGGCGGCGGGCAACCGAGGCCAGGCGCCCGGGACAACGAGUACCUGGCGGCCGAACUGAGGACAACUGAGGGAACUCGCAGAGCAGGGCGGGAACGCUUCCAGCAAUGGCGGCGGCUCGGCGGUGCCGGCCUCCAGGCAGGGCAUUGCGCCUGCGCAGCCGGAGCGUCGGAACUACAGUGCCCAGAAUCCUCAGCGCCUGAGCCCCCCGCCCCUUUUGUCUGCGUUAGUGAAGGAAUUGGCUCUUCAAAGGUGAGAAAAAAUUCCAAUUGGAUACACUUCUGUUGAGAAGCCUUGACUAUGUGUCAAAAGCAAUAGCACUAGAGAUACAAAUAAUGACACAACCCUUGUCUUGGAACAUUUAGUUGCGACUAAAGAAAGCCGUCGAGAGAACAAAUAGAUGUAAUCCAGACAAAUAUGUGAACAAGUGCUUGGAAACACAUUUCUGAACAAUUCCCUUUAUGACAAUUCCCUCAGAGUUGGAAGAGACAACAAUUGAUGACUAUAAUGCCAAUUAAGUAGAAUGGGUAUGAAUGUCUGAAAAUAAGCUGGAAAUUUUAAGGCCAAAAUUCUUCGAAAUACAAAGAAAAACCCUUUCUGAAGACAAAUAGCUGUAGAAGUUCUCCUCAAUGCAUACAAAUGAUAAUUCUUAAAACACAAUGACUGAAAGUAUUUAUUUGCAACAAAUUUAUUUGACCACUUAUUCAAGGGCUGCUCGUCCAAGAGCUAUAUUAAGGUCUAUUUACUUUAUCCCUACCAAAGGCGGUAUUUUUUGAGGAUAGAAACUACAUCUCAUGGAGUUUAUCACUCAGAGUGCCUACUUAGGAGACUGCUUGCAUACUGAAUGAAACGAAGGAAGAAUGAAUGAAUAAUUUGGGACCCCACCUCCCAACACACUUCCACAUAUCGAAAUGCACACGGAAUGAGGUACAUCUUCUAAGGAGAGUGGCAUUGAAGAGUAAUCAAAACAACAGGAUAUUCACAGGAGGACUGGAAUAAAACGAAAUUUCCAGUGAAAAAGAUUACUCAAAAUAUUUAUUCAAUACACUCUGAAAUUGGAAACUGAGCAAAUGUCUUUUGGAGAUCCCAGUUCCCUCACAUUCCCCACAGAUGAAGAUGAGCCAAACAGAAGUCCAAAACUUAAACAUUACAAAACAAAUAAUAAAAUAAGACACUGUGAAUGAAAAUCAGCACAAACAAUAAACGGCAGAAAUAUAUCCCCCAAAACUUCAGAGGCAGAGCUCAUUUGAUUAAAAAUUUAAAAUUAUUACAUUUAAAAUGUUUAAGGACAUGAUAGAUGGAAUUAAAAACAUUAUCAACAAACAACAGAAUGUAAAAUAAGCCACCAGGAAAGUUUAGAGAAACAUACACAUUUCGUUAAACUAUAAAAAAAAAAUGUUUAACACAAUAUUUAGGGUAGAUUAUUACUUCUACAGGGAUAAGUCCAGGAAAGACAAGACACACAGGUGACUUCAAAGGUAAUGAAUAGAUUUGUAUCAUCAUAAUGUGUUAUGGAAUACUUAGGAAUCAGUGACAUUAAGGGAUGACUUCGUCUGGGAAGAGUGGAACUUAAUGGAUUCCUCAAAAGGACUCUGCACAAGGGUAUGAUAUUGGGAAACUACAGGAACCUGGUCUCUCUGGCCUGAGGAGAGGAGAAGCUGUCAGUGGAGGUCCCUGAAGUUACCCAGGCCCAGGAGAGACACAGCAUCAGCUGACAACUGCAGUAAAUGCCACUGAAGACCCUCACUGGGAAGAGGCUGCAGAACCGUGUCUGCCAUGCUCGUGUUUUAAAUGCUGGCCAAGAUGAAUCAAAACUCCUUUUCCUUUUUUAAAUUUCCUUUUUUAAAUAGAAGAAGUUUCAGGUACUCAAAAAAUGUCACACAAGACUUAUUGUGUUUGCCCUGUAUCAUUUCUUUCUUAAACAAUUUAAGCAGGAGUUAUUUCACAUACUGUAUUUGGCCAUCAGCUUUUGUUAUUUCAAACCACUGAAGACAAUAAAUUUGCUUUCUUCCUCU